ACUACGGGUGGCAGCAGUGGGGAAUAUUGGGCAAUGGGCGCAAGCCUGACGCAGCAACGCCGCGUGAAGGAAGAAGGCCCUCGGGUUGUAAACCUCUUUUAUCAAGGACGAAACAAAUGACGGUACUGGAUGAAUAAGCCACGGAUAACUACGGGCCAGCAGCCGCGGUAAUACGUAGGUGGCAAGCGUUAUUCGGAUUUACUGGGUGUAAAGGGCGUGUAGGCGGGAGUGCAAGUCAGAUGUGAAAACCAUGGGCUCAACCCAUGGACUGGUUUUGAAACUGUCGUUCUUGAGUGUUGGAGAGGCAGGCGGAAUUCCGUGUGUAGCGGUGAAAUGCGUAGAUAUACGGAGGAACACCAGUGGCGAAGGCGGCCUGCUGGACAAUAACUGACGCUGAGGCGCGAAAGCGUGGGGAGCAAACAGGAUUAGAUACCCCUGUAGUC
rnacentral:rRNA from 1 species